AACGCGAAGAACCUUACCAAGUCUUGACAUCCUUCUGACCGGUACUUAACCGUACCUUCUCUUCGGAACAUCGGAGACAGGUGGUGCAUGGUUGUCGUCAGCUCGUGUCGUGAGAUGUUGGGUUAAGUCCCGCAACGAGCGCAACCCCUAUCUUUAGUAGCCAGCGGUUCGGCCGGGCACUCUAGAGAGACUGCCAGGGAUAACCUGGAGGAAGGUGGGGAUGACGUCAAAUCAUCAUGCCCCUUAUGAGCAGGGCUACACACGUGCUACAAUGGCGUAAACAAAGGGAGGCAGAACCGCGAGGUCGAGCAAAUCUCAAAAAUAACGUCUCAGUUCGGACUGUAGUCUGCAACCCGACUACACGAAGCUGGAAUCGCUAGUAAUCGCAGAUCAGAAUGCUGCGGUGAAUACGUUCCCGGGUCUUGUACACACCG
rnacentral:rRNA from 1 species